rnacentral:rRNA from 1 species
UACGAAGGGGGCGAGCGUUGUUCGGAUUUACUGGGCGUAAAGCGCGUGUAGGCGGGUCAUUAAGAUGGGGGUGAAAUCCCGGAGCUCAACUCCGGAACUGCCUCCAAAACUGGUGAGCUGGAGCAGGACAGAGGGAAGUGGAAUUCCGAGUGUAGAGGUGAAAUUCGUAGAUAUUCGGAGGAACACCAGUGGCGAAGGCGACUUGCUGGGUCCUUUCUGACGCUGAGACGCGAAAGAGUGGGGAGCAAACAGG